GUGUGCUUUGUGCUCCAGAGUCCUGGCUGAAGUGAAACUUUGGGUGAGACCACAUUCUUGUUCAACCUGCUUUCUUCCUCAUCUGUUUCUCCAGAGAGGACACCCUCCAUGCACUGCAUGCUCUGGUUUAAGAUAAGCUUUAUAAAGAGAUGACCUGUAUCAUAGAGGCCAAAACAACUGUUUCCUUAUUGGCUGGAGCUGGCCUACUUUGCCUUCUUGACUCACAGAAAUGGCCGUCAUUUGAGAUAUUGAAGACAGCUGUGACCUAAUUGACAUCACCGACAAAGACCUGCACAUCUUGGGAUAUAUGUUUACUGUGAUAAACUAAAUCUGGAAACCCUCCUCUGCUACCACCUGGAUUCUGGCUGAAUUCCACUAUUGGGGAACUCCAGGAGAAGACUGCAGUGAUAUAGGAGAAAGAGAAAGUUCCAAAUGUUUAUCCUCCUGACUCUGUGCAAGAUCACCUUCUCCCAGCUUGGCUGCAGCUCUCUGCUGCUCACAGAGACUUCCUCUACAAAACUGUCACCCUCUAGGUUCCUU